AGACAGCACAUGUACGUCUGGCCGACGUCGGCCCAAUAUCGAAACGUCGGCCUCUAUACCUAAAACAUCUAUAAAACAUCGGCCUGGUGGAGGCCGAUAUAAUUUGGUCAGUGCUCUGUUCUCCAGCUCAUCAAUCGUCGGCCCUGAGUUGGUUCACGACCGCGGGCCGAUGCCGCGCUUCUCUGUGUGCGCGUGCCCAGUAUUCGUCUCUUUUAGCCACCCAGAGAGAGAAGAGGAUAAUCCCAGCGACAUCUGUGGCUCUCAGGCUUCCAGAAAUAAUCCGGUGAAAUAAUAUGGUGAGCUAUUGUUGCUGUUGCUUCUGAACUACAAAAUGAUUUUUAAAUGUAUUAUUGAAUGAGACUGUACAUUAUAAAUGUAAUGCUUUAACUCUAGAUGUUUGUUUGUGUGAAUGCUGUGUGUGCUGUGAAUCCUGCGCGAGCGGGGAGCAGAGUUGCCAUGGAAACGGGGCAUCAACACAAAAACCGUUGUUGACAAGCAGUAAUCUCCGUCUCUCGCUGCGGUUUACACUGUUUUAGAUUUAUUUUAUAGAAACGGUUUAGUGUCUUCGGAAAUGUCCGUUAUCAUUUUAGCAGUUUUCAGAUGUUUGUUUGUGUAAAUGCUGUGUGCGCGUUGAGUCCUGCUCAAGCGGGGAGCAGAGUUGCCAUGGAAACGGGGCGUCAACACAAAAACCGUUACUGGCAAACAGUAAUCUCCGUCUCUCGCUGCAGUUUACACUGUUUUGGGAGGACAGAAAGAAACUCUACAGAACAGAAGUGAAGCUCCAAGAUUUCAAAAUUUCUGAAGGGAGAUUCUGACUUAGAAAUACAGGUGACCUGAAGAAGCUCAUGAAAAACAUGAAUAUGCCUUUUUCAGAAUACAUUUCACCAAUUUUAAGAAGUCCCUGACAUCAUAACAUGGCUUGUUUUGUUCCUGGACUCUUCAGUGAUGACGAUCAGAGUCUGAGUGAACCUGCUGUCAGACAGGUUGGCCUGAUUGACGAUGCCAUCAUCCAUCGCCGAUAGCUGAUAGACAUCACGAUGCUGCGCUGGCAAACAGCGUCAUCAGCUCCAGUAUCUCGCCCGUGCAUCUGUUGUCAUGCGACAGAGAAGUCACGUUCUAUAGACAGUUGUGAGGGUGCUGACAGCUGGUUGCCCAGGCUAUGGAUUAAAGGUAAUACUGUUGGCCAGCAGAGCCCUGCUCACCCUGACGGCCCACCGCUGCUGUCAGAUAACAUCUCCAAGAUGCUAUAAACUGCAGGACCAGAUGGCCAUCCCAAGGUUUCUAGAGAUUACACCAGCUCCAGACUGAAUCCAAACUUACUUGUGAAGACUUCAGAUGAUACCAACGCUCACAAAGACUACAGACGACA